UACGAAGGGGGCUAGCGUUGCUCGGAAUCACUGGGCGUAAAGGGCGCGUAGGCGGAUCUUUAAGUCAGGGGUGAAAGCCUGAGGCUCAACCUCAGAAUUGCCUUUGAUACUGAAGAUCUUGAGACCGGAAGAGGUAAGUGGAACUGCGAGUGUAGAGGUGAAAUUCGUAGAUAUUCGCAAGAACACCAGUGGCGAAGGCGGCUCACUGGCCCGAUACUGACGCUGAGGCACGAAAGCGUGGGGAGCGAACCGGG
rnacentral:rRNA from 1 species